CCUACGGGAGGCAGCAGUGGGGAAUAUUGGACAAUGGGGGCAACCCUGAUCCAGCCAUGCCGCGUGUGUGAAGAAGGCCCUCGGGUUGUAAAGCACUUUCAGUGAGGAAGAACGCCUGGUGGUUAAUACCCAUCAGGAAAGACAUCACUCACAGAAGAAGCACCGGCUAACUCCGUGCCAGCAGCCGCGGUAAUACGGAGGGUGCGAGCGUUAAUCGGAAUUACUGGGCGUAAAGCGCGCGUAGGUGGCUUGAUAAGCCGGUUGUGAAAGCCCCGGGCUCAACCUGGGAACGGCAUCCGGAACUGUCAGGCUAGAGUGCAGAAGAGGACGGUAGAAUUCCCGGUGUAGCGGUGAAAUGCGUAGAGAUCAGGAGGAAUACCAGUGGCGAAGGCGGCCUUCUGGACUGACACUGACACUGAGGUGCGAAAGCGUGGGUAGCAAACAGGAUUAGAUACCCUGGUAGUC
rnacentral:rRNA from 1 species